GGUCCGUUGGCCCAAUGGUAAGGCGUCUGACUACGACUACGAGCCUCGUAGCAUAACAGGUAAUCAGGAGAUUCUGGGUUCGACCCCCAGGCGGACCU